AUCCCGGACACUCACCGGCGCUGGCAGCCACAGUUCUGGCUCGGCGGCAGCGGCUGCACGCCCAGGCUCUGCGCCUGCGCUGCAAGUGGGGAAAGAAGGCAAGAAUGGAGUCACUCUUUUCCACUUUGGAUGCUCAGUGCCUAGAACAGGAUCAAGUCUGCGGUCAGCACUAAGCUGUCUGGAACACCUAGCUUUUGCCUGUUUUAUUCACCGUGGCAUCUCCAGCCCUUUGAGCAGCAACUUGUACAAAGAUACUGGACCGAAAGACCCUCCCCUUUCGGGAUCUGGGCCUCAAGUUUCCAAUCCUGGAUCUACGCCCUCCCUCCGUCGAAUCGGGUUCUAGGCCCCACCCUCUUCUGGACGCCACAACCAACCACACCCGUCGCUGAAUUUGACCCCGCCCCCACUCACCCUUCUGCCGUACCGAGCACCAGACCAUGCCCACCAGCACACAGAUGAUCAGAAACACCAGUAGCGCCAGGAUGCCGCCCACAAUGGCAUAGGGCACCGACGUCUGAGCCUCUACCACCGCACCAGGGUCUGCCAGAGGGACAGGGCGCAGGCCCAGGUCAUCAGAGGACGGUCCCAGCCCGGGCCCAUACCUGGCAAUGUCUUAAACCAUUCUGCAGCCACGUCCAACCGCGCCCCCUUACAUGCCACGCCUCCCAAAUUACCGCCACCUGGUGGGCCCUUCCCCUGGCGCUUCCCCCCCCCCCGCCCCCCCAAUUAGCAAUAAUUGCGCCUCGGAAAAACCUCAUUGGCUAUGACACUGCCACUGAGCAAAGCUCCUGGAGCCAUUCUUGAUGUUCCACUUCUUCAAGGAAUGCGUGUUGGUUUGUACACUGCUUGACUUGGCCCCCAGUCCUUUCGCUAAUACCUACCUGCCUCCUCCCCCAACUUCAUUCCCCAGAGAACAGAAAUAGCACAUCGUUUUUCUUUGA